AAAACAUGAUGAUGAUUGUGUAGUAAGUGCAGAUAUCAACUGUGUACCAGGAAAACAAUCUAACGAUAGCUCACACUUCAUUCAGGACCAACAUAAAAGGCAUAACGGGAGUCUGUCAUAUGCCCAUCCACCACAGCAAGUUGUGACUUUCUGAAAGAUAUGGGAACAAAAAAAGAUAUUAUUUUCUCUCAUGGUCUCACCCCUUCCUUUCUUUGAUGCUAUAUAUUUGGCUUCGUAGUUCACUCAAACUUCCCUUAUAUUAGCUGCAUAAUGGAAAGAUCACAUCUCCAAAUUAGUGAAACGAUUUUUGGUCUGGUACAAAUGACCGUAACCCUCGAGAAAGUUAUUGCCUUGUGACCAUGAGGGCACAGGUUCAAGUCCUAGAAAUAGUCUCUUACAGAUACGUAGGAAAAGACUGCGUACUAUAGACCCAAAGCGGUCGGAUCCUUCCCCAGACCCUGCGCAAGCGGGAGGCCACGUGCACCGGGCUUCCCUUUUACAAAUGACCAUAACCCUCGAGAAACGAUCUAAAAUACCAUGAGGUAGAUGAGUCAUGAAAGCGAAAAAGACGUCGUCAAACUUUUCCAUCUCCUUUGCAUUCUGGGCCUGGUCUCUUUAAACUUCAAGCACUGCAUGUAAAUAUAGCCAGCAAAGCAUGAGUUCUUUACUUCAAUCAAAGUCUAAGCUACCCCGCAAAAAAAUCAAAGUCUAAGCUAUAUGCAGCAGACAUAAGGUCAGUCAGAAGUUAAUGAAGGACACCACAUAGUACUAUUCACAGCUGGCAAGCAAAAUAUUGCUUGCAUUUUUAUAUCAUAAAGAUCAGAGACUUAUUCGAAGAGUCGUAAUUAUCAGUCGAUCGAAGUUCAAGAUCAAAAGUGAUUAAAAAUUAUAACAAGACGUGUCUUGGCAAAUCAGUGAUAUGUUCGCGCUAUAAAACUUUUGUAGAUGCUUGUCGGAAUGAACAAACAAAUGGGGAGAGGGAAACUCAAGAUUCUGCACAUGAUAACUGUGAAGGGUCCUAGUGUACCACAUAUGCUACAACAGCAUAUCUAAAUAUCAUUGGCACGAGUGUUUCACAUAUAGUAUAGCAUGCUUAACUUACUAUGCAAGAAUGCAAGUACUACUACAUGUUCAUCUGUACUAUUACUAUUGUAUAUAUCCAUGGUACUGCAAAAUACAUGAAUGGAAGCAAGACUAAAAAAUAAAAAUAAUAGUAUAGUAGUUUUUUUCCGAGGGAUUUGGAAGAGCAAUAAGGACCAAUAGAACUUCAUUAUCCUGAUCAGAUGUUGGAGCAGACAUACCAAGUUUUUUAUGUCAAGCUAAAGUAUCCACGUUUUGGUCAUCGCAUAAGUCUACUUGAAAAUUUUAUCUGUCUCAUUUAGUAAGCACAAAUAAGAUUAGCUUGGUAUCUAAGGAUGAGUUUAAUGGUAUGAACACUGUAUCAGAAUCUGAUUCAAGCCGGAAACAAGAUCAUCCUACUCUGCAAUCUCUCUCCUUCAUUUGAGUACCAGUCAAAGAAAUUGGAUAGAACUCACCAACUCCACAUUGAUGCAGGCUAGACUCUUAUGAUGCAUAUGGCCAGUGAAAGACAAUAGAAAGACCCCACCUUUGUAAUAGGUUUCCUGAAAAUAUUCAUCACAUAAAUGAUUACUUCUAGCAAGAUCGAUUCCCUGAUUAUUUGAAUAUAAGAGAACUGGCAGCCAAUUUACAAUCGGUAUGGAUAUUACUUUGAGCUUCGGUUCAUACAUUAAUACAUUAUGCACAGUUUGGAUGCAACCAAUGUGUAGCAGGAAGCAGCCAUUAUUGAAGAAUCAUUUAGCAUGUUAAAAGGCAUACAAUUGAAAAAGUAGUGUGUGUAUGUGUGUGUCCAAGAAAAUCAAGCAUUUCAACCAAGUACUAAAUGCAAAUAUUUGCUUAGCGUAAAAUUUGACAUGGUCAAACCAUAAUUAUUUUAGUCUGCCAGGCAAUCUCUGUGUGCAGUAAUCUCUUUUUUUUUUUGCUAAUGUGGGUGCAGUAAUCUUCACGCAUACUUUGUAACCAAGUUAUUAAUUGAUAAUGAGAAGGAAGAACUACUUAUUGGCAUGAAACAUAAUAAAAUUAGACAAAAUCCUGCUUACAUGGGUUGUUUGUAUAUUUUCAUGGCUUCUGUGAGAACAGAUAAUGUCAAAAGUAUGUGGGCCAAAUAUUUAUUUGAAACAUAGACAAUAUAUACCUAGAAUUUUGCCGUACAUUUAAAUAUUCUAGAGAUUACCAGCGAAGCACCAAAUUAAACAAUGAAAUAUUUCUAUGAAAGUCUAUACUUAUCUUUUAUUUGCUCUUGCAAAGCUAACUUGGUUGAACAGAGAAUUACAUAGUAUAGAGAAUAUAUAUGCUGAAGAAACCAUGAACAUUUUGCGGCCAUGGAGUUCAGUCUGGAUGUAAAUUAUUCUCUUAUGAUAUCCAUAGUAAUCAGUGAUCACCAGGCUGUGUACUUUAUUAAGUCAAUGCAUCGGGUGAAACACUAAGCAUUGCUAUGCCUAUGAAAUGUAUUUCCAUGCCUGAAGGGCAGAAGCUGCAGGGCAUUAGCUGAUCUGCAGUAGAUGGUUACCAAAUAAUGCACAGAAGGACAAUCUCUGCAGAAAUGAUCAAUGGAAAACCCAGAAUUCUCCGAGUCUGAAGGCCACACAUCUUCCUCAAAUCACGUAGUGAAAAGUCACAUGCAAGAGCAAGUAUUCCUAAUCCAGUCAAUAGAAGGAUAAUUAAUUUCACAAGCCCAAUUAGCAUUAUAGCUCACAAGCUGGGACAACAGUGGUCGCAGCACUUCCAUAUUCUGGCACAUAGCAUCCAAACCUCAGCCCGCACCC
rnacentral:lncRNA from 1 species